GACGAACGCUGGCGGCGUGCUUAACACAUGCAAGUCGAACGGAAAGGCCCUGCUUGCAGGGUACUCGAGUGGCGAACGGGUGAGUAACACGUGGGUGAUCUGCCCUGCACUUCGGGAUAAGCUUGGGAAACUGGGUCUAAUACCGGAUAGGAGCCAUCUUUAGUGUGGUGGUUGGAAAGUUUUUUCGGUGUAGGAUGAGCUCGCGGCCUAUCAGCUUGUUGGUGGGGUAAUGGCCUACCAAGGCGGCGACGGGUAGCCGGCCUGAGAGGGUGUACGGCCACAUUGGGACUGAGAUACGGCCCAGACUCCUACGGGAGGCAGCAGUGGGGAAGAUUGCACAAUGGGCGCAAGCCUGAUGCAGCGACGCCGCGUGGGGGAUGAAGGCCUUCGGGUUGUAAACUCCUUUCGCUAGGGACGAAGCUUUUUGUGACGGUACCUAGAGAAGAAGCACCGGCUAACUACGUG
rnacentral:rRNA from 1 species